rnacentral:misc_RNA from 1 species
AAAACGCAGCGGUUCUUUAACAAUGAGAUGGGCCAGUACGGAGAGGCGCCCUUCUUCUGUGAAGCCUGGAUCAACAAACAGGUCAUCGUGCAACAUUUAUAUUCUCCUGCCAUGUGGGCGAUAUUCCAGAUGCAGGAUAUCCUGGGCAUCGACGAGAAACUCAGAAGGCCGGAUCCGAAUGAGGAACGCAUCAACGUGCCUGCAAACCCUAAACAUUACUGGCGUUACCGCAUGCAUGUAUCGCUGGAAGAAUUGCUGAGGCAAAAACCAUUCACGAACGAUUUGAAACAGCUUAUUACCGCAAGCGGCAGGGUAUGAAUCUGAGGCAUUUUACCAGGCAGCUUCCAUUU